UCUCAGUUCGGACUGUGGUCUGCAACCCGACCACACGAAGCUGGAAUCGCUAGUAAUCGCGAAUCAGAAUGUCGCGGUGAAUACGUUCCCGGGUCUUGUACACACCGCCCGUCACACCAUGGGAGUUGGUAACGCCCGAAGUCGGUAGUCUAACCGCAAGGAGGACGCCGCCGAAGGUGGGGUUGAUGAUUAGGGUUAAGUCGUAACAAGGUAAC
rnacentral:rRNA from 1 species